rnacentral:rRNA from 1 species
GGGGAAUUCUCGCAAUGGGCGAAAGCCUGACGGAGCAAUACCGCGUGAGGGAAGAAGGCUCUUGGGUUGUAAACCUCUUUUCUCAGGGAAUAAAAAAAUGAAGGUACCUGAGGAAUAAGCAUCGGCUAACUCCGUGCCAGCAGCCGCGGUAAUACGGAGGAUGCAAGCGUUAUCCGGAAUGAUUGGGCGUAAAGCGUCCGCAGGUGGUACAACAAGUCUAGUGUCAAAGACCGGGGCUCAACCUCNGAAAGGCAGUGGAAACUGAACAGCUAGAGUAUGGUAGGGGCAAAGGGAAUUCUGGUGUAGCCGGUGAAAUGCGUAGAGAUCAGGAAGAACAUCNGUGGCGAAGGCGCUUUGCUGGACCAUAACUGACACUCAGGGACCAAAAGCUAGGGGGACCGAAUGGGAUUAGAUACCCCAGUAGUC